GGCAGGACUAACACGUGCGAGUCGAACGGUAACAGGAAGCAGCUUGCUGCUUUGCUGACGAGUGGCGGACGGGUGAGUAAUGUCUGGGAAACUGCCUGAUGGAGGGGGAUAACUACUGGAAACGGUAGCUAAUACCGCAUAACGUCGCAAGACCAAAGAGGGGGACCUUCGGGCCUCUUGCCAUCGGAUGUGCCCAGAUGGGAUUAGCUAGUAGGUGGGGUAACGGCUCACCUAGGCGACGAUCCCUAGCUGGUCUGAGAGGAUGACCAGCCACACUGGAACUGAGACACGGUCCAGACUCCUACGGGAGGCAGCAGUGGGGAAUAUUGCACAAUGGGCGCAAGCCUGAUGCAGCCAUGCCGCGUGUAUGAAGAAGGCCUUCGGGUUGUAAAGUACUUUCAGCGGGGAGGAAGGGAGUAAAGUUAAUACCUUUGCUCAUUGACGUUACCCGCAGAAGAAGCACCGGCUAACUCCGUGCCAGCAGCCGCGGUAAUACGGAGGGUGCAAGCGUUAAUCGGAAUUACUGGGCGUAAAGCGCACGCAGGCGGUUUGUUAAGUCAGAUGUGAAAUCCCCGGGCUCAACCUGGGAACUGCAUCUGAUACUGGCAAGCUUGAGUCUCGUAGAGGGGGUAGAAUUCCAGGUGUAGCGUGAAAUGCGUAGAGAUCUGGAGGAAUACCGUGGCGAAG
rnacentral:rRNA from 1 species